GACGAACGCUGGCGGCGUGCUUAACACAUGCAAGUCGAACGGAAAGGCCCUGCUUUUGUGGGGUGCUCGAGUGGCGAACGGGUGAGUAACACGUGAGUAACCUGCCCUUGACUUUGGGAUAACUUCAGGAAACUGGGGCUAAUACCGGAUAGGAGCUCCUGCUGCAUGGUGGUGGUUGGAAAGUUUCGGCGGUAGUGGAUGGACUCGAGGCUUAUCAGCUUGUUUGGGGGGUAGUGGCUGACCAAGGCUUUGACGGGUAGCCUGCCUGAGAGGGGGGCCGGCCACAUUGGGACUGAGAGAGGGCCCAGACUGCUACGGGCCGCAGUGGUCGGGAACAUUACACAAUGGGGGGGAGCGUGAUGCAGAAACGCUGCGUGCGGGAUGACGGGCUUCGGGUUGUGAACCGAUUUGGACUGUGACGAAGCGUGAGUGACGGUAAUGGGUAAAGAAGCACCGGCUAACUACGUG
rnacentral:rRNA from 1 species